rnacentral:rRNA from 1 species
GACGAGCCUCACAAACGUUAUUCGGAAUUACUGGGCGUAAAGGGUGCGUAGGCGGCGCGGUAAGUCGGGUGUGAAAUCUCGGAGCUUAACUCCGAAACUGCAUUCGAUACUGCCGUGCUUGAGGACUGGAGAGGAGACUGGAAUUUACGGUGUAGCGGUGAAAUGCGUAGAUAUCGUAAGGAAGACCAGUGGCGAAGGCGGGUCUCUGGACAGUUCCUGACGCUGAGGCACGAAGGUCAGGGGAGCAAACGGG